GAGUUUGAUCGUGGCUCAGAUUGAACGCUGGCGGCAUGCCUUACACAUGCAAGUCGAACGGCAGCAUGAUCUAGCUUGCUAGAUUGAUGGCGAGUGGCGAACGGGUGAGCAAUACAUCGGAACGUGCCCUGUAGUGGGGAUAACUAGUCGAAAGAUUAGCUAAUACCGCAUACGACCUGAGGGUGAAAGUGGGGACCGCAAGGCCUCAUGCUAUAGGAGCGGCCGAUGUCUGAUUAGCUAGUUGGUGGGGUAAAGGCCCACCAAGGCGACGAUCAGUAGCUGGUCUGGAGAGGACGAUCGAGCCACACGUGGGACUGAGACGACCGGCCCAG
rnacentral:rRNA from 1 species